rnacentral:rRNA from 1 species
CUUGCUAAGGCCGAUGGCGACCGGCGCACGGGUGAGUAACACGUAUCCAACCUGCCGUCUACUCUUGGACAGCCUUCUGAAAGGAAGAUUAAUACAAGAUGGCAUCAUGAGUCCGCAUGUUCACAUGAUUAAAGGUAUUCCGGUAGACGAUGGGGAUGCGUUCCAUUAGAUAGUAGGCGGGGUAACGGCCCACCUAGUCUUCGAUGGAUAGGGGUUCUGAGAGGAAGGUCCCCCACAUUGGAACUGAGACACGGUCCAAACUCCUACGGGAGGCAGCAGUGAGGAAUAUUGGUCAAUGGGCGCAGGCCUGAACCAGCCAAGUAGCGUGAAGGAUGACUGCCCUAUGGGUUGUAAACUUCUUUUAUAAAGGAAUAAAGUCGGGUAUGUAUACCCGUUUGCAUGUACUUUAUGAAUAAGGAUCGGCUAACUCCGUGCCAGCAGCCGCGGUAAUACGGAGGAUCCGAGCGUUAUCCGGAUUUAUUGGGUUUAAAGGGAGCGUAGAUGGAUGUUUAAGUCAGUUGUGAAAGUUUGCGGCUCAACCGUAAAAUUGCAGUUGAUACUGGAUAUCUUGAGUGCAGUUGAGGCAGGCGGAAUUCGUGGUGUAGCGGUGAAAUGCUUUAGAUAUCACGAAGAAC